AAGGAAAGGACAAUAAGAAGAGUGGGAAAUAAACCGAAGAAGAGUGGAGAAGGGCUCGCACCUAUGCAGAUGACAUCACUCUUAAUUCAGAAACAGCCCACCCCAAUCUCUCCAUUUCUCAGGAUAAGAAGAAAUUUGCUCAUGAACCCCA